CCAAAUCAUAAGAAAAUUAAGAUGUACUUCAUAAAGAAAUCAUUUUUCUACUUCAGAACAGAAUGUUCAAGGAUUUGAGAAAUAAGUUCCAACUAGAGUAACAUGUUAAAAACAUCAGCCAGAUCAUCUACAGAUGUAAAUAUAAGACAUAAAGGCAAAUCUGAGAAUUAUUAGAAGAAAAUGCCGUGCUUAUUGGCUUGUAGGAGGUAGAGUCAAACUGGGAUUGAUCAAGUGAAGAAGCUGUGUUUAAAGGUAAGAGAGUAUAUCAUUCCAGAGA
rnacentral:lncRNA from 1 species